UACGGAGGGUGCAAGCGUUAUCCGGAUUUACUGGGUUUAAAGGGUGCGUAGGCGGACUUGUAAGUCAGUGGUGAAAUCCCGGGGCUCAACCCCGGAACUGCCAUUGAUACUAUAGGUCUUGAAUAUUGUUGAGGUGGGCGGAACGGGUCAUGUAGCGGUGAAAUGCAUAGAUAUGACCCGGAACACCGAUUGCGAAGGCAGCCCGCUAAGCAAUGAUCGACGCUGAGGCACGAAAGCGUGGGGAUCAAACAGG
rnacentral:rRNA from 1 species